GACGAACGCUGGCGGCGUGCUUAACACAUGCAAGUCGAGCGGUAAGGCCCUUUCGGGGGUACACGAGCGGCGAACGGGUGAGUAACACGUGGGUGACCUGCCUUCAGCUCUGGGAUAAGCCUGGGAAACUGGGUCUAAUACCGGAUAUGACUCCAUGAUGCAUGUUGUGGGGUGGAAAGCUUUUGCGGCUGGAGAUGGGCCCGCGGCCUAUCAGCUUGUUGGUGGGGUGANGGCCUACCAAGGCGACGACGGGUAGCCGGCCUGAGAGGGCGACCGGCCACACUGGGACUGAGACACGGCCCAGACUCCUACGGGAGGCAGCAGUGGGGAAUCUUGCGCAAUGGGCGAAAGCCUGACGCAGCGACGCCGCGUGAGGGAUGACGGCCU
rnacentral:rRNA from 1 species